rnacentral:rRNA from 1 species
GACGAACGCUGGCGGCAUGCCUAAUACAUGCAAGUCGAGCGAACAGAUGAAGUGCUUGCACUUCUGACGUUAGCGGCGAACGGGUGAGUAACACGUAAGGAAUCUACCUAUAAGCGGGGGAUAACAUUCGGAAACGGGUGCUAAUACCGCAUAAUAUCUUCUUCCGCAUGGAAGAAGAUUGAAAGACGGCUCUGCUGUCACUUAUAGAUGACCUUGCGGUGCAUUAGUUAGUUGGUGGGGUAAUGGCCUACCAAGACGAUGAUGCAUAGCCGACCUGAGAGGGUGAUCGGCCAAAUUGGGACGGAGACACGGCCCAAACUCCUACGGGAGGCAGCAGUAGGGAAUCUUCCGCAAUGGGCGAAAGCCUGACGGAGCAACGCCGCGUGAGUGAAGAAGGCCUUCGGGUCGUAAAACUCUGUUACAAGAGAAGAACAAAUUGUAGAGUAACUGCUACAGUCUUGACGGUAUCUUAUCAGAAAGCCACGGCUAACUACGUGCCAGCCGCCGCCGUAA